rnacentral:rRNA from 1 species
CAGCAGUGGGGAAUAUUGCACAAUGGGGGAAACCCUGAUGCAGCGACGCCGCGUGGAGGAAGAAGGUCUUCGGAUUGUAAACUCCUGUUGUUGAGGAAGAUAAUGACGGUACUCAACAAGGAAGUGACGGCUAACUACGUGCCAGCAGCCGCGGUAAAACGUAGGUCACAAGCGUUGUCCGGAAUUACUGGGUGUAAAGGGAGCGCAGGCGGGAAGACAAGUUGGAAGUGAAAUCUAUGGGCUCAACCCAUAAACUGCUUUCAAAACUGUUUUUCUUGAGUAGUGCAGAGGUAGGCGGAAUUCCCGGUGUAGCGGUGGAAUGCGUAGAUAUCGGGAGGAACACCAGUGGCGAAGGCGGCCUACUGGGCACCAACUGACGCUGAGGCUCGAAAGUGUGGGUAGCAAACAGGAUUAGAUACCCUGGUAGUCCACACCGUAAACGAUGAUUACUAGGUGUUGGAGGAUUGACCCCUUCAGUGCCGCAGUUAACACAAUAAGUAAUCCACCUGGGGAGUACGACCGCAAGGUUGAAACUCAAAGGAAUUGACGGGGGCCCGCACAAGCAGUGGAGUAUGUGGUUUAAUUCGAAGCAACGCGAAGAACCUUACCAGGUCUUGACAUCCUACUAACGAGAUAGAGAUAUGUUAGGUGCCCUUCGGGGAAAGUAGAGACAGGUGGUGCAUGGUUGUCGUCAGCUCGUGUCGUGAGAUGUUGGGUUAAGUCCCGCAACGAGCGCAACCCUUGUGAUUAGUUGCUACGCAAGAGCACUCUAAUCAGACUGCCGUUGACAAAACGGAGGAAGGUGGGGACGACGUCAAAUCAUCAUGCCCUUUAUGACCUGGGCUACACACGUACUACAAUGGUCGUUAACAGAGGGAAGCAAUACCGCGAGGUGGAGCAAAACCCUAAAAACGGUCUCAGUUCAGAUUGUAGGCUGCAACUCGCCUACAUGAAGUUGGAAUUGCUAGUAAUCGCGGAUCAGCAUGCCGCGGUGAAUACGUUCCCGGGCCUUGUACACACCGCCCGUCACACCAUGAGAGCCGGGGGGACCCGAAGUCGGUAGUCUAACCGCAAGGAGGACGCCGCCGAAGGUAAAACUGGUGAUUGGGGUGAAGUCGUAACAAGGUAGCCGUAGGAGAACCUGCGGCUG